rnacentral:rRNA from 1 species
ACGACCUCGAUGUUGGAUCAGGACAUCCUAAUGGUGCAGCCGCUAUUAAGGGUUCGUUUGUUCAACGAUUAACAGUCCUACGUGAUCUGAGUUCAGACCGGAGUAAUCCAGGUCGGUUUCUAUCUGUGAUAAACUUUUCCUAGUACGAAAGGGCCGGAAAAGUGAGGCCAAUACUCGCAAGCACGCCUCAUCCGCAAGCAAUGAAUCCCACUAAACUGCCUAAGACACCCACACUCACCCCAGUUCUAGAAAAGAACC